rnacentral:lncRNA from 1 species
UAUAUAUAUAUAUAUAUAUAUACUUAGACAUAGUUCAAAAUAAAUAAAAAAUAAGAUCAAAUAUCAUCAUUAAUUUACCAUAGCCUAGCUCUCUUACUAUCAGAAUCCCCACAAAACCCCAGGCAACAUUCAUGUGAACCUCAAGUGCUAUCAAUUCGACUACAACAACCUUUUCUGAUACUAUCACCAAUCGAUAACCCUCAAAUCCAUGCCCUACCUUUACUUGUGCUAAUGUAGUAACUAGUAAGCAAAAUUGUCAAGACAUUUAACACACAGGAUCGCUAACUUCUUUAACAAUACUAUAACCAAACUGAAGAACUCAAACAAAAUAGGAUCAACGAGUAUUAACACCAUUCCAGCUACAUCUACGGCCUCUUUUACUCGCAGCAUGGUUUGAACAUGUCGAACCCAUAGAAUGAUUCAAAUAAAUUAAAAACAGGUGAACGAAAGAGAGAGAUACUGCAACAGAAUUCUUCAGUUUUUCUUCUUCAAAACACCACAUGGGUUGGCCUUUACAUUUUGAGAUAAAAGAGUAAGUUCCUGGAUAUGACACAACAGAAUCAGAAGUUGAUUUAGAGAUUCAGAAGGAGCAGCAACAACAGUACGCAACAGAAGCAGUAAUUCAGCAGAAAUCAACUUGAACCAAUCAAUGAAACAGUGUUUUGAAACAAGAAACCCAGACCCGCCUUUACAAUACUUCAAAUUCGACUUAUUCUAAACCAGAUUUAGCUAUUGAUACCAAAUCAAAAUACCCUCAAAUUCCAGUGAAUCAGAACAUACUUCAGCAAUUAAACCUUCAGGAGUUAUAAGAAAAACAAUUUGAUGGAACAGUACUUAUUUUGAUCUUUUAGCCGUCUGAAGUUUUUCGGAUUUUUAGCUCUCCUUUUUUGAAUGCUCCCUUCUUCUUGCCUUGAAAGGCAAGAAUGAUAUCUUAUAUAUGCUUAGCAAUAGGGAAAAACUUCAGAUUUCAUUUUUCACCCUUUUGCCCCCUUUAAUUCUUGUUUUAGCCUAGGGACCCCUGGAUUCUUAACUUGUUCCCCAAGUUCCAUUACUUAAAAGUCUGAAAUUCCAAUCCCACCCCACCCUAGAAGCUUCUCAGUUUGUUGUGAAAGAUUCCCUAACCCUUGGAUACCUAAACUACCCUCCCAAACCCUGAUAUUUACCCUCAGCUGACCACACUCAAAUAGGUCAGCCCAAACCAAAAUAGAGCUCUAAAGUUGUUGCUGGGAUGGGUUAAACCAAUCAAAGGCCCAAUAUACUACCCUAUUACAAAACUUCCAUAAUUAUGACCCAAAAACUUCACAAAACAAAACCCAAACAACAUAAACUUAUGAACCAGCCAAACUAAAAUAAAAUUAAAUUAAUUUAACACCUAUUAUAGCAUAGUGAAACUCAGAUUAAUCAAAAAUAACUCAAAUAAAGCAUACCAAGUUCAAAGAAAUCUGGUUAUCAAAAGUGCCAAUGAUAAACCUAAAUCGGUGCUAAUCGUUAUACUAACACAACUCGAUCUUAUAAAAACUUUGAGAACACUAAGAGGGAAAGAGAUAAACAAAAGACAAGAAUGAAGGAGGCAGUGGUGAGACAACAAAAGAAACGAGGGAAAAGUGGAAAUAGAAGCGAAAAAUAGGAAGAAGAAAGAAAAACAAUACGAAGAGAAAUACCUAAGUGAAGAAUGAUUCAGGCUACUCGAACCCCGGCUUAUCUGAUUUGAACCAAAAGGGGUGUUAACCGACUGUUCUUGUGGGAGCAGUCGCCUAACACUUGCCUCAAGAUCAAAUUGUCUUCAAAAAUAGGAUGGUAAGAACCCAAACCCUUUGCAUGAUGAGUUCAAGUUUGGAAGACUUAGGGACUUAGGGACUUAUCCUUUUACUACGUCAUUUCAUAGUCUCAAAGGCUAGGGACUUGGACCGGAUUUUUGGCAGUAUUUGGCCG